GGGGUCGUAGCGCAGGAGUCGUCGCGCCCACUUGUCAGGUGGGAGGACGCCGGUGCGAAUCCGGCCGGCCCCGC
rnacentral:tRNA from 1 species